rnacentral:rRNA from 1 species
UACAGAGGGUGCGAGCGUUAAUCGGAAUUACUGGGCGUAAAGGGCGCGUAGGCGGGCUCGCCAGUCCGGGGUGAAAUCUUUCGGCUUAACCGGAAAAGUGCCUCGGAUACUGCGGGCCUUGAGGGAGGUAGGGGCAUGUGGAACUUCCGGUGGAGCGGUGAAAUGCGUUGAUAUCCACAGGAACUCCGGUGGCGAAGGCGGGUCCCUGGACAACACCUGACACUGAGGCACGAAAGCUAGGGGAGCAAAGCAGA